GACCAGACUCCUACGGGAGGCAGCAGUGGGGGAUAUUGCACAAUGGGGGGAACCCUGAUGCAGCGGCGCCGCGUGGGUGAAGGAGCGUUUCGGCGCGUAAAGCCCUAUCGGCAGGGAAGAAGGAGGACGGUACCUGACUAAGAAGCCCCGGCUAACUACGUGCCAGCAGCCGCGGUAAUACGUAGGGGGCAAGCGUUAUCCGGAUUUACUGGGUGUAAAGGGGGCGCAGACGGCAGCGCAAGCCAGGAGUGAAAGUCCGGGGCCCAACCCCGGGACUGCUCUUGGAACUGCGCGGCUGGAGUGCAGGAGGGGCAGGCGGAAUUCCUGGUGUAGUGGUGAAAUGCGUAGAUAUCAGGAGGAACACCGGUGGCGAAGGCGGCCUGCUGGACUGCGACUGACGUUGAGGCCCGAAAGCGUGGGGAGCAAACAGGAUUAGAUACCCGAGUA
rnacentral:rRNA from 1 species